rnacentral:lncRNA from 1 species
AAUCAUACAUUAGUACAACCACACAACUCCUAUCGCUUAAUAUUUUUUUUCCCAAAAGAUAUUUGCAUGAAUAAAUUCUUUGAACCAAAUACUGCAUUGGAAUUGUGGUAAUUAUAAUAAUCAUACUGCAUUGGAGUUCAUUUAAGUGGCUUCCUUCAAUACACUCAAAAGCUGUAAGUUCUAUCUCAUAAAUCUCUCUUUUAUUUUCAGAAUUAAUUUGCACAUCUUGGUGUACAGAAAAAGAAAAAACUGAAAAAAUUGAAAGAAAUCUUUGAAUGUUAGUUUUGUACAAACUCUUUGCCUUCUUUUAGAGGCUCUAAUCAAGAUUUGCUUAAGUAGAGAUCGGUGUGCGCACUCCCCGAUUAGCAUCUAGAAAAAAUUUCUAUUACAUUUGGGGAUUUAUCAUGUGUAAAGAAUUUAGAUCUAUAAGCAAAUUAAAACAAUAGAUAUAUUAAUUUUUCUAAUUAAUUACUCCUAAAAUAACUGUGCACGGAUUAAUGCUUAUACAAUACUGGUCACGCAAUACUGGUUACAAUCACAAUUCAUUCGAGUUACCAUUUAGGUGGUUAAAAAAAGUAGAAUUUACAUAUAAUCUAUAACAUUUUCAUUUUUGUGCUGCCCAUAAUCUUGAAUGAAUCUUAUUGUUUGCAUGGUAUUCUACGCUCACUGGAUUUCACUUGAUUUAUUCUAAAUUUUCAGGAACAAAUUAAUAUAAUGGCUUCCACGAGCUUCCAAAAUGUCUCUCAUGGGGAAUACGAUGCCUUCUUAAACUUUAGAGGAGAAGACACCCGUAAAGGGUUCAUAGGUCAUCUCUACAN